AGCGAACGUUUGCGGCGGGCCUAACACAUGCAAGUCGAACGGGCAGGGCAACCUGUCAGUGGCGCACGGGUGCGUAACACGUGGGUAAUCAACCCUCCAGACUGGGACAACCCGGGGAAACUCGGGCUAAUACCGGAUGUGGCGCGCGGGUCUUCGGAUCUGCGCGCGAAAGCUUCGCAAGGGGCACUGGAGGACGAGCCCGCGGCCCAUCAGCUCGUUGGUGAGGUAACGGCUCACCAAGGCGAAGACGGGUAGCUGGUCUGAGAGGAUGAUCAGCCACACUGGAACUGAGACACGGUCCAGACUCCUACGGGUGGCAGCAGUGGGGAAUAUUGCGCAAUGGGCGGAAGCCUGACGCAGCCACGCCGCGUGUGCGAUGAAGGUCUUCGGAUCGUAAAGCACUGUGGGGGGAGAAGAACCAAGCCGGUGAAGAGCCGGCCCUGACGGUAUCCCCUUAGCAAGCACCGGCUAACUCCGUGCCAGCAGCCGCGGUAAUAC
rnacentral:rRNA from 1 species